CUGCGCUGUCACUGCGCUGUGUCUGUGCUGUCACUGCGCUGUCUCUGUGCUGUCUCUGCGCUGUCACCAGGGUGUGUGGCCAGCGGGACCCAUGUGCUCCCAGGUGAACUCAGGGGCGUGAGAUAUGACAGAUUAGAAGAGCGCUCCAGUCAGUUAUGAGUCUCUGUCUGGGUUAAAUCUCCAGGGUUUACUUUCUGCUUUCUUCCCCUUCAUUUUCCUCUCAAGACAACAAGCAGAGAUGUCAACAGCCUACUUGAGGAUAUCUUUAGCCGACUAUAUUUUUUUCCUCUGUUACUCUUGAAAUUAACCCCCCCCCUUGCCCCCCGGGGGAGAUGAAACUCUUUCCUUAGCCUUGUGCUCUCACAGGACACACACCUGCCUUUGAUCUCUCUGAGAACUGCACACACACCUGAGACUCGGACUCUGAGGCACACGCAUGGCCCAUGCUGCCAGGACUGUGGUGUGUGUGUGUGUGUGCGUGUGUGUGUUCCCGCUCUUCAGCGCCAUUCAGAUACAACAGGCCACGCCCCCUCCGUGUGACCGCUGCACGGCUCGAGGCCCGCCUUAACAUUCCGAGAGGGGUUGCCAUGGAAACCCGCGAGUGGCGUGACGGGGGGCGUGUCCCCUCUGUGUCAGCGAGCAGUCUGGAGACUUCAUAGAAAGAGCAAGCACUUCUUAAAUAUUAAAAAGAGAUGUUUACAGUCUUAAAUACAACGGUAAUAUUCAGGUUUAUAUAUUUAAAGGACUGUUGCAUUUGUAAAGAAGUUACUUAUUUUUGUUUGGAAUGCCCAGUGACCAUAAGCCCAUCAGCUAUACGCGACCUCCACAGAUUCAGGUGGACCACAUUACAGUUUACAAUGAUUUCUGCAAUAGCAGGUUGCAAAAGCGUUGGUCUUGGGUUGCGCUGUCCCUCCAUUGCCUCAAUCCAUCUGUUACAGGCCUGCUCCCUGCUUGCACAUUUUAUUCCCAUGGGAUUAGCUGCUGGGCUUCAUCCAACAGGUUUUUCUACACAUUGUAUGGAAGAUGGCUGAGAAGCUUUAAAUUCCAGAGAAUUAAAUCCUAGAGAACUUUAAGUUGCAGUUGUAUUUAUACUUACCUGCAGUUGUAGUCUAUUUCCUGUGGUCUGACUAAAGCCUGGGUUAAUAUUUCAUCAUAUUAUAAAUUCUGGGUUUUCAAGGGUUAUAUGGUAAUGACAUACAGUCCUUUGGUAGUUCAGAACUGUGAAUGGGAUUUUGUGAGUUUAUAUAGUUAACCAUUGACUGGACUGUAUCCAUCUAAACUACACUGACACUUGAAACAUUGGAUUUGUUUUGUUUUUUAUUCCCAGUGUUGAGAGUGAACAGACAAUAACAGAAUGUAUUAUUUGUACAGCGCCCUACAAAAUGGAAAGCACUGGAACAGCGGUAGGCCUGACUGGUGGAGGAUGAGAGUGGGUCUGGCCCACACACACAGAUGGUUUGGGGAGGGGAAAGUCCACGAGGCACAGUGGGAGAUUUGUCAAAAUUUGGUUGCAUCUUCGAUACACAAUGUCUCAGAAUCUACAUCAGAUUCCGCCUUUGUGCCGAUUGGCUUCCUGGAAGGGUUGCCAAAACAAGCAACAAAAAUGAACAUCUGGGGUUUCCUAAACAGCACGGGAACCUUUGGAGUCACUCCUAUAAAGUAUCAUUUCAUUAGCAAUUUGCAGCUCUCCCAUUUUGGACAGGUCAACAGGAAGUGCUUUUCAGCGACCCUGUCCUAAAUCACUAAACCUUGUGUGCUUUUGCAAUAUGGUACUUUUACAAAAAAAUAAACAAUGUUCUGCAUUCUGUUCACUUAUCCUUGCUUUCUAUAUUCUCUCUCUAAUUUUCAAUAGCCGUGCUGAGCUUGUGUCUCGUAAAUGUUUUUAGGCUGUAAAUAUUUAUGAGGACACAGUGGGACAGCAGUUACCCAUAAGUAAGCUCCUUUGCAUUAGUUAUCCCACAGGCUUAACAUCUCGUCACUUCUAUUAUCUUUCAACUAGUCAGACCUCACCUCCUUUCAAUGUCUGUGUACAUGACAUUUCUGUUGCGUUUUCACCACCAGAUUAUUUUCAAACGGCUGGCGAUACGGUGGAGGCAAUGCUUUGAGCAUUUCACUUCAUUUCAGAAGAUACUCUUACUGCUGGGGUUAAGGGCACAGGACAAAAGCACACGUGCCUUUUGUUAACCAUAUUUAUAACUGGAUCUGCUUCAUGUUAUGUCAAGUCUGUAUAGAUGUCCCAUAGGUUGUGAGAUCACAAUGUUGUUAUUAUGACAAAUUCAAAUAUUAGUUUAUGGAUAUUGUAAGUAAUAUAAAAAUAAAAUACUAUAGCUGUUAGUGUAACCAAACCGGAUUAACACUUAAAAUCAAUUUAAAGCCAUAUAUAUGGUUUUACAUGACAUUGUUAAAAUUUGAAAACAGGUAAAUUCGUGGUUGCUUAAUUUUUACAAAUUGCUGAAGCUUGGUGUUUUUGUUCUGUAAAUACAAAAGUAAACAUGAACAGUGCCCCUCUUCCCUCCGAAAAAGUUUUGGAUAUUAUGUUAAGUAUGGCCAGCAGUAAUUGAAUUUUACUGCACAAAUAUAAACCGUAAUGUUUUGAUGCAGUAGAAGUUCCAAAUUUCUUUUUAAGUGUUUUUUAUGACCUUAACAAAGAGAAGGGGAGAAACAAGAUGAGUUUGUGUUGAGUUUAUGCUCUAAAAUGUAUAAAUGUUUGAAGAGAAAGUAUUAACCCUAUUAACCCGUGAUUGCACGUUUGAAUCGUCUGCAUGGUUCCGAGGAAUUUCUGCAUUUGGUUUUAAUUAAAAUUAUAAUUACUCGUUAUUAUGCUCUAACUGUCCACAUACUUUUUUUCCAAUAUUUAACUGUUGCAUGCCUUGAAUAAAUGUCAUGAUAUGCAAGCUUUCCUCAG